UAACCAGGAACCGUACCCCAAACCGACACAGGUGGUUGGGUAGAGAAUACCAAGGCGCUUGAGAGAACUCGGGUGAAGGAACUAGGCAAAAUGGCACCGUAACUUCGGGAGAAGGUGCGCCGGUGAGGGUGAAGGACUUGCUCCGUAAGCCCAUGCCGGUCGAAGAUACCAGGCCGCUGCGACUGUUUAUUAAAAACACAGCACUCUGCAAACACGAAAGUGGACGUAUAGGGUGUGACGCCUGCCCGGUGCCGGAAGGUUAAUUGAUGGGGUUAGCUAACGCGAAGCUCUUGAUCGAAGCCCCGGUAAACGGCGGCCGUAACUAUAACGGUCCUAAGGUAGCGAAAUUCCUUGUCGGGUAAGUUCCGACCUGCACGAAUGGCGUAACGAUGGCGGCGCUGUCUCCACCCGAGACUCAGUGAAAUUGAAAUCGCUGUGAAGAUGCAGUGUAUCCGCGGCUAGACGGAAAGACCCCGUGAACCUUUACUAUAGCUUUGCACUGGACUUUGAAUUUGCUUGUGUAGGAUAGGUGGGAGGCUUUGAAGCGUGGACGCCAGUUCGCGUGGAGCCAUCCUUGAAAUACCACCCUGGCAACUUUGAGGUUCUAACUCAGGUCCGUUAUCCGGAUCGAGGACAGUGUAUGGUGGGUAGUUUGACUGGGGCGGUCUCCUCCUAAAGAGUAACGGAGGAGUACGAAGGUGCGCUCAGACCGGUCGGAAAUCGGUCGUAGAGUAUAAAGGCAAAAGCGCGCUUGACUGCGAGACAGACACGUCGAGCAGGUACGAAAGUAGGUCUUAGUGAUCCGGUGGUUCUGUAUGGAAGGGCCAUCGCUCAACGGAUAAAAGGUACUCCGGGGAUAACAGGCUGAUACCGCCCAAGAGUUCAUAUCGACGGCGGUGUUUGGCACCUCGAUGUCGGCUCAUCACAUCCUGGGGCUGAAGCCGGUCCCAAGGGUAUGGCUGUUCGCCAUUUAAAGUGGUACGCGAGCUGGGUUUAGAACGUCGUGAGACAGUUCGGUCCCUAUCUGCCGUGGACGUUUGAGAUUUGAGAGGGGCUGCUCCUAGUACGAGAGGACCGGAGUGGACGAACCUCUGGUGUUCCGGUUGUCACGCCAGUGGCAUUGCCGGGUAGCUAUGUUCGGAAUAGAUAACCGCUGAAAGCAUCUAAGCGGGAAACUAGCCUCAAGAUGAGAUCUCACUGGAACCUUGAGUUCCCUGAAGGGCCGUCGAAGACUACGACGUUGAUAGGUUGGGUGUGUAAGCGCUGUGAGGCGUUGAGCUAACCAAUACUAAUUGCCCGUGAGGCUUGACCAU
rnacentral:rRNA from 1 species